rnacentral:other from 1 species
CAUAUCCUGCUGUGCCCGUGAUGCCUCAAUGCCGUUUGAGCCAACACCCUUAGUACGGGCGCUUGGGUAUAGUGCAAAGGUGAUAGGCUUGCGUAGCCAAGACCGAGGCAUUUAUCCGGCGGCCCACCUGCGAAUGCAGGUUCAAAACAUCGUGACACACGGCAUGGCGGGUCUUUU